GGGUUGCUUGGUGACUAGGAAAGCGUGUAACUUUGGCCUAAUAAUGAACUUUUCAUGGCGAAGAAGAAAUACACGAACUAACUGGCCACUUCAGAGACUGUGUUGUGUCUGUGUGUCGGUGUGACUGUGGGAGCCGAGGGAGCAGAGGUGUCGGUGACACAGGGAGAGGAAUGGAGAGAGAGACGAUAGAUACGGAGGGAGCGAGAUGGCUGUCAGUAUCGGUUCUGUUUGCUCCAAGCCAAGUCAGAGUGAAAACCCUGUUAUGCUCAGCUCCGUAGAUGACAAACAGAAGAAAGUAGUAUCAGGAGCAGACACUCGUCAAUGCAGAGAAACCCUGACACUGCCUCCAAUCAAAGCGGAAGGAAAAGUCAUACUUGGCCUGGUCGGAUUUUCCCCGUUUUCCACAAAUCCCGCUGCAGCGUGGCGUAAUUGAAAACAGGGAGAGAGAGAGGGAAGGAAACGUUCAAGAUUCUGGAUGAGGGACAGAGCGGAUGGAGAAGGGGAAAGGCUGGAUACAAAGGGAGAGAGAGGAACUCAAGUGCUUGAACGCAGGAUCCAUCUGUUCGGUGUAUCGUCUGAUUUCCCCCUCCCAGCACCCUCCUCUUUCUCUUUUCCUCCCUCACCUCCCAUUAAAACCACGUAAGCCUGAUUUAUCAAGAAUUGGCUCUCAGGGAGCAUCCCUCCUGCUGUACCCACCUGCCCCCCUGCAUAUGCCAGAAAAAUGAGAAUAGAUUGGCCCAUCCGUGGAUGGUGCCAGGUGGCAUUUAGACCCCCAAGAAGAUAUGUGUGCAGUCUAUCUACCUCACAGUGACAGACGUUGGGCCUGGAGAGAGAGGAAAAGAAAAAAGGAAGCAAGUCGGAAAGGAUAGUAACGGAGGAGGGGGAAAGCAGAAAAACCCUAGUAGGUUCAAGUAAAUGUGUUGUCCUGCUAAAGGCACGCUUGUUUUCUUGUCAUUAUCUCAAGCUGCUGUUGCACAGCGAGCCAGAUGUACAUGUGGGAGUACGCAAACGGGCUAGUGACAAUAGGAAUGCCCCUUUUUGCAUUGCCAUGUAAUCUUAGCCUUUUCCUUGUUUUGAAACCGUACUUGAGCUGGAUUUGAAAUCCUGUUAUAUGGAUUAGUGAACACUUAAACAUUAUGGAAAUUAAAAAUCAGGGAGCACAGAUGUGAUUUUGCAACACACAUGCCUAAAGGAAUGUUUUUAUGAUUUAAUACAAGUUAAGUUCAAUCAAGAGCAUCUGUGGUAUAAUGUUCAUUACCACAAAAAACAGUUUCAACAUCACUUUCUUUAUUAAGAAUUUCGGGUUAAAUUAAGAAUAUUUCAGGUUAAGUUCAGUCAACAGCAUACAUGGUAUAAUGUUAGUUAUCACAAAAAAUUGAUUCUGCUCAAACGUUUUCUUUUUUUUUAAACCAAAAAUCAAGGCUACAUUGAGGUACGUAUAAUCAAAGUAAAUGGCACCAGUAAUUUAGAGGAUUUAAAAGCAGGAAUGUGAAGUAUUGCAAUUUUAUAAAACCACUUACUUUUGUUAAAACUUGAGUUUUAUUUGAGCUGCAAAACUAUUUAGAUCAUAAUUUUUACAGUGAUUUUGGAGCAUUACCUUGUCAUGGCAAUGAAGUUACAACUACAGUUGUAUAUACUGUAACUUUACAAAGAAAAGGUUAGUAAACAAUUUUUCAGAGCAUGUUGUUCAUAUCUUGUGGAUAUACUUUUGAAAGAGCAAAUAGUUUAAUGUAUUCACGUGUUAAAGAAAAGGAAAUGAAUUUUUGUGGAAAUCAACAUCAUGCCACAAUGGCUGUCACUUGUACUGUACCCGGAAUGUUCCUUGAAUUUUGAUGCUUUGUCAACAGGACAGCAUUGGAAGUCCUGCUACAUUCUGAGCAAGUCAGCUCUUGCAGUGUGUAUUGCAAAAGAAUAUUAAUCAUGCAGGGAGGAUGGUGAAAGAGUGUCAUGUCAUUGUUUCCAUUGUUGGGAAAUACCUGUUUUUCAUGUUCUGCAAUCCGUUUUCCUCAUUCAGAGCAAAAGCCAUGACUUCCUGCCAUCUGGGUAAGCAGUUUUUAUUGUUUUCGAGCAUGAAAACAAGAACUCUAAUUAUAGCAUUGGGAUUAUGCUACAGUAUGCCAAUGGCCAUGAUACCCCUGGCACAAGAGUGGAACUGUUUCAACAGGCCCAGAAUUACCCUUUAGUGGCUAAUGGAAUAUGAUGGGGCUUUUUCAGGGUGAUUAAUGAAAAGGAUGGGGAGGACAAGAGAUGGAGAGAUAGAAAGCGAGGGAAUGGGGGAAGGGUGAUCGUGACAAAUCGUUUGGGGGUUCUUCAAAACAACACUGGGAGAUAGAUGGUGGCAGUGUGUGUCUUUCAUUAUCAGUGACCCCCUGUUCAAUCAACGCCAGAGAAAGACGGCCACAGUCCAGAGAACAGGGCUACAGGACAAAGUAUCAUCCCAUCAUCACUCAAGUCCCCCUCUCUUAACACAUACGCACACACAUAUCUUCUCAAACACUCACCUCUACCCCUCAAACGACCCCACACACAUUGAUGAGAUUGGUGAGGGUUCUGACCCCAGACUGGAUGUGCCCUCUUACCCCUCAGGAUCCAAAGAAAGGGCGCCAUCCUUGCAGGUGCCAUGGUAACACUGUUGUGGCAGGUCGAGUCUCAUGAACGAUGAUGCUGGUGAUGUCAUCAACCCGGUAGGAGGAGCAUCCCACCAGUUUUCCCAUAAUCACCAGCUGCCUCUUUCCAUUAGCAUUCAAUGCAAUUCCUAUAGCUUUAAUUCCUACCGUUUUUUUUUAUUUUAACACAACUUUCAUCCUCUGCUCUCCUCUAAAAGUGAAACCUCAUCAAGCCCCUUAUGGCAUAUUUGUAGCAAUAUUUCACUGUACUGUGUUUUAAGAAUGCACUAUGAAAAAAAAUUAAGUUACUGCCUUAUAUUUUUAUAGUAGAAUCAAAUUGACUGUACAAAUUAUUUCAAAUUAAAUUAUAUUAAACUGACUUAAAAUAUCAAGUGAAGUCUCAUAUAACUUCAAAAAAUGAAGUUGAAAUUGGUUAAAUUAAUUUGAUGAGUUAAAGUAAUGGAAAACUUUAUGUUGCCAUGACUAAUUGAUCAUAUAGUUUUUACAGUGUGUCCUUUGUGGUUUAAAAGUGGUUUUCAAACUGGGGUCCACCAGGGGGCUGCAAGAUGGGUUGUAUUUAAGAGAAAUAUGUAUAUUCAUUUAAGGGAAAA